CCUACGGGAGGCAGCAGUGAGGAAUCUUGGACAAUGGGCGCGAGCCUGAAGCAGCCAAGUCGCGUGAGUGAUGACGGCCCUACGGGUUGUACACCUCUUUUGCCGAGGAGCAACGGGCGCCACGUGUGGCGCCACUGAGAGUACCCGGAGAAAAAGCAUCGGCUAACUCCGUGCCAGCAGCCGCGGUAGUACGGAGGAUGCGAGCAUUAUCCGGAUUUAUUGGGUUUAAAGGGAGCGUAGAUGGGUUGUUAAGUCAGUUGUGAAAGUUUGCGGCUCAACCGUAAAAGUGCAAUUGAUACUGGCAGUCUUGAGUACAGAUGAGGUAGGCGGAAUUCGUGGUGUAGCGGUGAAAUGCUUAGAUAUCACGAAGAACUCCGAUUGCGAAGGCAGCUUACUAAACUGCCACUGACAUUGAUGCUCGAAAGUGUGGGUAUCAAACAGGAUUAGAUACCCUGGUAGUC
rnacentral:rRNA from 1 species